rnacentral:rRNA from 1 species
AACGAACGCUGGCGGCAGGCUUAACACAUGUAAGUCGAGCGCCCCGCAAGGGGAGCGGCAGACGGGUGAGUAACGCGUGGGAAUCUACCCAUCUCUACGGAAUAACGCAUGGAAACGUGUGCUAAUACCGUAUACGUCUUUCGGUAGAAAGAUUUAUGGGAGAUGGAUGAGCCCGCGUUGGAUUAGCUAGUUGGUGGGGUAAAGGCCUACCAAGGCGACGAUCCAUAGCUGGUCUGAGAGGAUGAUCAGCCACACUGGGACUGAGACACGGCCCAGACUCCUACGGGAGGCAGCAGUGGGGAAUAUUGGACAAUGGGCGCAAGCCUGAUCCAGCCAUGCCGCGUGGGUGAUGAAGGCCCUAGGGUUGUAAAGCCCUUUCACCGGUGAAGAUAAUGACGGUAACCGGAGAAGAAGCCCCGGCUAACUUCGUGCCAGCCGCCGCGGUAACAC